CUUCUUCUUUUCAAAUCCAUAUCAACCACCUAUCGUGUACAAGUACAACUAGCUCGAAACCUAUUGAGUCUCUGAUGACACUGUUGAUUACAUGAACACAACCAAGGAUCUACUUAAUGCAUAAGCUCUCUUCUUUCAGGCAAAAGCCAUUUUGAAACCUGAGGUACUUCUCAUGAGACGUUGUAGGCCAUGAUAUACCGGUGGUGGGUUGUUCCAUAUACCUCUCAUUCUCACCGGUCAUAACUAUAAACUGCUAUGUUCUUGCUAGCUUGUCUCUUGGAAGGAUCCCUUAUAUUUUAGCCUAUGUUGCUUGUGUGUGUAUAGAACAGGGAGGGCAGGAGACCUCUUUGGAUGUGUUUGGU
rnacentral:lncRNA from 1 species